UAACCUGCCUUAUAGUGGGGGAGUAGCCUUUCGAAAGGAAGAUUAAUAACCGCAUAAGAUUGUAGUAUCGCAUGAUAUAGCAAUUAAAGGAGCAAUCCGCUAUAAGAUGGACCCGCGUCGCAUUAGCUAGUUGGUGAGGUAAUGGCUCACCAAGGCGACGAUGCGUAGCCGACCUGAGAGGGUGAUCGGCCACAUUGGGACUGAGACACGGCCCAGACUCCUACGGGAGGCAGCAUG
rnacentral:rRNA from 1 species